GAUGAACGCUGGCGGCGUGCCUAAUACAUGCAAGUCGAGCGAACAGACGAGGAGCUUGCUCCUCUGACGUUAGCGGCGGACGGGUGAGUAACACGUGGAUAACCUACAUAUAAGACUGGGAUAACUUCGGGAAACCGGAGCUAAUACCGGAUAAUAUAUUGAACCGCAUGGUUCAAUAGUGAAAGACGGUUUUGCUGUCACUUAUAGAUGGAUCCGCGCCGCAUUAGCUAGUUGGUAAGGUAACGGCUUACCAAGGCAACGAUGCGUAGCCGACCUGAGAGGGUGAUCGGCCACACUGGAACUGAGACACGGUCCAGACUCCUACGGGAGGCAGCAGUAGGGAAUCUUCCGCAAUGGGCGAAAGCUUGACGGAGCAACGCCGCGUGAGUGAUGAAGGUCUUCGGAUCGUAAAACUCUGUUAUUAGGGAAGAACAAAUGUGUAAGUAACUAUGCACGUCUUGACGGUACCUAAUCAGAAAGCCACGGCUAACUACGUG
rnacentral:rRNA from 1 species